rnacentral:rRNA from 1 species
GACGGGGGGGCAAGUGUUCUUCGGAAUGACUGGGCGUAAAGGGCGCGUAGGCGGUGUGUCAAGUCAGGCGUGAAAGCCCCGGGCUCAACCUGGGAACAGCGCUUGAGACUGGCACGCUCGAGUUCGGGAGAGGAGAGUGGAAUUCCCAGUGUAGAGGUGAAAUUCGUAGAUAUCUGGAGGAACACCGGUGGCGAAGGCGGCAUCCUGGACCAACACUGACGCUGAGGAGCGAAAGCGUGGGAGCGAACAGG